rnacentral:lncRNA from 1 species
CUCUCCCUCUCUUUAAAAAAAAAAAAAGAAAAAUUGUUUCCCUCUACUCUUUAUAGUUCUUAUUAAACUAUAAGUAAUACUACAUUAAACAGAGUGGGGCUUAUUUAAGAAGAAAGAGAACUCCGUCUACUCUUUAUAGUUCUUAGUUGGGAUAAAUUUCCAUAACAAGAUUGACAAGAGAAAAACAAAAGUGUAUUACAAUGUUUAUGUAUACAUGGUAGAUAUGCAGGGGCAAGUGAGAAUCUCAAAGAUAUGGCUUUGAGUUCAAGGCUAAAUACCAUUUUCAACUGAAAUAAAGAAAGAAAGGGGCUAGGGAUGUAGCUCAGUUGGUAGAGUGCUUCCCAUUUGUUGGAAAAAUCCCAAACAAAACGCAAAAUCCCUAUUCUUUCCAUAUAAGUCUUUUCUCUUCCGUCCUUUUUUCCUUUUCCUGUUAGUUAUAUAAACCCUAAAUUCUUUUUUUACCCUCAGUGCUGGGUAUUGAACCCAGAGCCCAGGGCAUUGCGCAUGCUAGGUAAAGCCCUGUAAAUCCCACAUUUAUUAUCACCUCUUUGGGUUACUCAUCGCUGAGUACUCCUGCGUGUGUGCACAGUGGACACCCUUUUCCCUUCCUUUUUUUGGGGAAUGGUGGAGGAGCGGGUACAGGGGAUUGAACUCAGGGGCACUCAACCACUGAGCCACAUCCCCAGCCCUAUUUUGUAUUUUAUUUAGAGACAGGGUCUCACUGAGUUGCUUAGGACCUCACUGUUGCUGAGGCUGGCUUUGAACUUGGGAUCCACCAGCCUCAGCCUCCUGAACCUGCUGGGAUUACAGGUGGCACCUGUAAUCCUGGCUCUUUUCCCUUAUUACAGUUUAAUUUCCCCUAAGACAAUAGAAUAAAAUGUUUUUACCUCCUGAAAAACUCUUGCUGAUGAGAUGGUGCAAGGGACAGGUAACUGAUUAUCAAAUAAAAAGAAAUGGGCAGAUAGCAGUUCCCACCAACCUGUCGCUAACAGCCCCCGGGGGAGGGGAAAGAUAGCACUUUCCAACACAAGAAAUCACCACCCCCAACAGCUUUCUUCCUGCCUUUUGGUCAUAUAGGCAGUAUGGGAGAGGGGGCACGAGAGGAAAGGAACCCCCCCUCUCCCUCAGGCACCAGCUCUGGACCCCCUCCUCUCUGGAGGACUCUAUCUCUGUUCUGUCUUUUAAAUAAAUAAUUGAAAGAC